rnacentral:rRNA from 1 species
AGUCUGCAACUCGACUCCAUGAAGUCGGAAUCGCUAGUAAUCGCAGAUCAGCAUUGCUGCGGUGAAUACGUUCCCGGGUCUUGUACACACCGCCCGUCACACCAUGGGAGUUGAUUGCACCAGAAGCAGGUAGCCUGACCGCAAGGGGGGGCGCCUACCACGGUGUGGUCAA